GAUAAACGCUGGCGGCGUGCUUAACACAUGCAAGUCGAGCGGUAAGGCCCUUUCGGGGGUACACGAGCGGCGAACGGGUGAGUAACACGUGGGUGACCUGCCCUCAGCUCUGGGAUAAGCCUGGGAAACCGGGUCUAAUACUGGAUAUGACUCCAUGACGCAUGUUGUGGGGUGGAAAGCCUUGUGCGGCUGAGGAUGGGCCCGCGGCCUAUCAGCUUGUUGGUGGGGUGAGGCCUACCAAGGCGACGACGGGUAGCCGGCCUGAGAGGGCGACCGGCCACACUGGGACUGAGACACGGCCCAGACUCCUACGGGAGGCAGCAGUGGGGAAUCUUGCGCAAUGGGCGAAAGCCUGACGCAGCGACGCCGCGUGGGGAUGACGGCCU
rnacentral:rRNA from 1 species